ensembl:lncRNA
UUUGCCAAAAUCAGAUUUUCCAGCCUGUGAAUGUGUCUGUGUGCCUGCAUGCAGAGCUCUGAGAACUACUCCAGUGGCAGUGCGUGUUCGGCUGGGUGAGCUCUGGAGCUGGCUAUGGGCCUGACAGGCCCUGAGCUUCUGGUGUUGGAUGCUGUGCUCAGUGUGGAGCUCUGCACCACCCAGCCUAUGUGGCAUAGCUCAGCUCAGCUGGCUGAGCUCUGCAGGUGGCUAUGGCCCCGACAGGCCCCGGGGCUUCUGGUAUUGGUCUUAAGACCAGCUCUGCCAUGAUGAGAGCACUAAUGGCAACCUUCCUACCUGAGAGCAGAUCUUUGCAACGCAACCAGCACACCAGUGAUGGAGGAAGUACAUGGAGGACAUGGGUACCUUUUUCAAUCCCAUCCUGGACACCUUGGGUGUCAAGAAGGCCUUUGAUCAAGCAUCUAACAUGCAUACAGCAAGAGGCUAUUACAGUAUCAUGGGGAGACCACGCUGCCCAACCAGGACCUCAGCCCCCAUCGGCUCUUCUUCCUAAGCUAUGCCCAGACCUUGUAUCCAGGGCUGGUUCCACCUUGACACGACACACUUCUGUACCCGUGCUCCCUCUGCAAAAGCAGUCCCGAAUUCCUCAACACAUUUAGAGACACCCUCGAAGAAUCCUCCAUCAAACCCACUUCCCUACCUCAUAACUAUUGUUAUUCUAUGGCUC